CACUGAAGCACCGGUUCUCGUAUGAUCAAUGAAGUUAAGAAAUAUCGUGCCUGGUCAGUACCAAGAUGGGCGACCGCUUGGGAAUAUCAGAUGCUGUAAGC